rnacentral:rRNA from 1 species
UACGUAGGGGGCUAGCGUUGUCCGGAAUCAUUGGGCGUAAAGCGCGUGUAGGCGGCCCGGUAAGUCCGCUGUGAAAGUCGGGGGCUCAACCCUCGGAUGCCGGUGGAUACUGGCGGACUUGAGUACCGGAGAGGGUCGCGGAAUUCCCGGUGUAGAGGUGAAAUUCGUAGAUAUCGGGAGGAACACCAGUGGCGAAGGCGGCGACCUGGACGGAUACUGACGCUGAGGUGCGAAAGCGUGGGGAGCAAACAGGG